CACGUAGGGCGCAAGCGUUGUCCGGAAUUAUUGGGCGUAAAGAGCUCGUAGGCGGUCUGUUGCGUCCGCUGUGAAAACUCGGGGCUUAACUCCGGGCCUGCAGUGGGUACGGGCAGACUAGAGUGCGGUAGGGGAGACUGGAAUUCCUGGUGUAGCGGUGAAAUGCGCAGAUAUCAGGAGGAACACCGGUGGCGAAGGCGGCAUCCUGGACCGACACUGACGCUGAGGAGCGAAAGCCAGGGGAGCAAACGGG
rnacentral:rRNA from 1 species